ACAAACUUGGUCAUUUAGAGGAAGUAAAAGUCGUAACAAGGUUUCCGUAGGUGAACCUGCGGAAGGAUCAUUACUGAGACUAGGGUUCCAUUUGGAGCCCGAUCUCCCAACCCUUUGUUUACAAAUCUGCGUUGCCUCGACAGGCCGUCGGAUUAUUCCGCCUUCGGUCUUCGCGACUUUAGCGCGCUUGUCGAUGGAUUUUUCUUAAAACUCUUGAAAAUCGUUUCAAACCUGAUAACUUGAUAAUUACAUCAAAACUUUCAACAACGGAUCUCUUGGUUCUGGCAUCGAUGAAGAACGCAGC
rnacentral:misc_RNA from 1 species